UCCCUGAUGGCUCAGCAGUAAAGAAUCUGCCUGUAAUGCAGGAGGCCCAGGUUUGAUUCCUGGGUCGGAA
rnacentral:tRNA from 1 species